CACACAUUCAAUGCAUCCCAUACAUACACAGAAACACACCUUGCAGCCCUUACACAUACAAACACAAUUUCACACAAUGCAUUCCUUACACACAUAUCAGGACAUCCCCUACACACUCCACCACCUGUGAACAAACUCAUUGGUGGAACAUGAAGGUGGACCCUGGGACCCAGACAUUGAGCUGUGUAAAGGACCCCCAAAAAAUGGAGCUGCUUCCCGUUCUCCCAGAACAUUGAUUUUUGUGACCACAGUUACAAACCGCCUCCAGAGAGCCUGUUCUGCACCAGACCAGUGGAGCCAGACUGCAGCUAGAGCCCAU